rnacentral:lncRNA from 1 species
CCCCACUAAAGCCCUAAUGUCCUGUCCCCACUAAAGCCCUAAUGUCCUGUCCCCACUAAAGCCCUAAUGUCCUGUCCCCACUAAAGCCCUAAUGUCCUGUCCCCACUAAAGCCCUAAAGCCCUAAUACCCUGUCUGUCCCCACUAAAGCCCUAAUUCCCUGGCCAUGUGUCACUCCCUUCCCCCACAGCAGCACAGGAAUGUGCAGAAGGUCUGAAUAGACCAGAGCGGGAUCAGAAUGCGCAGAAGGUCUGAAUAGACCAGAGCGGGAUCAGAAUGCGCAGAAGGUCUGAAUAGACCAGAGCGGGAUCAGAAUGUGCAGAAGGUCUGAAUAGACCAGAGCGGGAUCAGAAUGUGCAGAAGGUCUGAAUAGACCAGAGCGGGAUCAGAAUGUGUCCACUUUGCUCUCUUGAGGUUAUGACUGUGGUCUGCUGUUUGUUUUAAG